GGAAAGGAAGAGAAGAUCAAGGAGAAGAAGAUAAAGCUCCUUUCUCUCCUCUCCAUCAAGCUUGGGCCUUCUUUGGAGCAAAACCUAAGGCGAAGACGGUUCAUCGAUAUGAGAAUCGAGUGCGAAGAUAUUGCCAUUUGAAGUGCUAAAGGGUUAAAGCUAACCCAACGAGAAUUAAGCGGCGACAAGACUAGCUCGAGAUCGCGUCUCGGAGUAUUUUCGGCAUCACCUAAGGUGCUAGUUCGAGUGUCCCGACCGAGCGGGAGGAU